rnacentral:rRNA from 1 species
AUCUAUGGCCAUACCACCCUGAAUGUGCCCAAUCUUGUUUGAUCUAGGAAGCUAAGCAGGGUUGGGCCUGGUUAGUACUUGGAUGGGAGACAUUUAAUCACAUAAC